UACGGAGGGGGCCAGCGUUGUUCGGAAUUAUUGGGCGUAAAGGGCGCGUAGGCGGCCGGAUAAGUCUGACGUGAAAUCCCCCGGCUCAACCGGGGAACUGCCUUUGAUACAGCACGUCUUGAGUCCGAUAGAGGUGGGUGGAAUUCCUAGUGUAGAGGUGAAAUUCGUAGAUAUUAGGAAGAACACCGGUGGCGAAGGCGGCCCACUGGAUCGGUACUGACGCUGAGGUGCGAAAGCGUGGGGAGCAAACAGG
rnacentral:rRNA from 1 species